rnacentral:rRNA from 1 species
GUAAUGCGAAUUGCAGAAUUCAGUGAAUCAUCAAAUCUUUGAACGCACAUUGCGCUUUUUAUCA